GGAGCAAACAGGAUUAGAUACCCUGGUAGUCCACGCUGUAAACGAUGUCGAUUUGGAGGUUGUGCCCUUGAGGCGUGGUUUCCGGAGCUAACGCGUUAAAUCGACCGCCUGGGGAGUACGGCCGCAAGGUUAAAACUCAAAUGAAUGGACGGGGGCCCGCACAAGCGGUGGAGCAUGUGGUUUAAUUCGAUGCAACGCGAAGAACCUUACCUGGUCUUGACAUCCACAGAACUUUCCAGAGAUGGAUUGGUGCCUUCGGGAACUGUGAGACAGGUGCUGCAUGGCUGUCGUCAGCUCGUGUUGUGAAAUGUUGGGUUAAGUCCCGCAACGAGCGCAACCCUUAUCCUUUGUUGCCAGCGGUUCGGCCGGGAACUCAAAGGAGACUGCCAGUGAUAAACUGGAGGAAGGUGGGGAUGACGUCAAGUCAUCAUGGCCCUUACGACCAGGGCUACACACGUGCUACAAUGGCAUAUACAAAGAGAAGCGACCUCGCGAGAGCAAGCGGACCUCAUAAAGUAUGUCGUAGUCCGGAUUGGAGUCUGCAACUCGACUCCAUGAAGUCGGAAUCGCUAGUAAUCGUAGAUCAGAAG
rnacentral:rRNA from 1 species